CAACCUUAAUCAAAGUGGCUUUCCUGCUCGAGGCAUUAUCAACAGUAACCCUGAAAUUCAAGCAUCAACAAAGGCACAACAUCACAACCCAUGUGGCUAAAACCUUGAAACUCCAACAUUUCGGCUCAAGAAAUGGAAAUUUCAAGAAAAACGCAAGAACUCACUUGAAUUUAAAAGCAACGAGGAAAUACCAACGUAAACCUGAAAUCCCAAAUAAUCAAAAGAAACAAAGAAACAGAAAGAUAAUAAUACCCAGGAGGGUUCAUUCGAAUGACGAGCUUCUCAAACUCAUCAUCCAUUGUGAGAGAAGGAGAUCAGCAAUCCAUUUGAACCAAAAAAAUGGAGAGAAAUUUUCGUAAGAACCGAGAGCAGAGGUGUCUGUUUCUUUGCACUUCCUUUGUAUGGUACUUUUGAAUUCUGAGUUCAGUUUGCGGCCCUGCGUUCGUUGGCGUGGCUGUG
rnacentral:misc_RNA from 1 species